rnacentral:rRNA from 1 species
GACGAACGCUGGCGGCGUGCUUAACACAUGCAAGUCGAACGGAAAGGCCCUGCUUUUGUGGGGUGCUCGAGUGGCGAACGGGUGAGUAACACGUGAGUAACCUGCCCUUGACUUUGGGAUAACUUCAGGAAACUGGGGCUAAUACCGGAUAGGAGCUCCUGCUGCAUGGUGGGGGUUGGAAAGUUUCGGCGGUUGUGGAUGGACUCGCGGCUUAUCAGCUUGUUGGUGGGGUAGUGGCUUACCAAGGCUUUGACGGGUAGCCGGCCUGAGAGGGUGACCGGCCACAUUGGGACUGAGAUACGGACCAGACGCCUACGGGAGGCAGCAGUGGGGAAUAUUGCACAAUGGGCGGAAGCCUGAUGCAGCAACGCCGCGUGCGGGAUGACGGCCUUCGGGUUGUAAACCGCUUUCGCCUGUGACGAAGCGUGAGUGACGGUAAUGGGUAAAGAAGCACCGGCUAACUACGUG